rnacentral:lncRNA from 1 species
AAUGUGUUUGCUUAAGCAUAUAUGACUGCACACUGUGUGAUUGCAGGCUGCCCUCAGAGGUCAAAAGACAGCACUGAGAAGAGUCACAGAGAGUUGUGAACUACCAUGCUGGUGCUAGGAAUCAAACCUGGGUCCUCUGCAAGAACAAGCUUUUUGUUUUAUAAAGAGUUCCAAGUUGUUGUUGUUUUUAAUCAAAUUUAUUUAUUUUAUGUACAUGAGUGUACUGUAGCUGUCUUCAGACACAUCAGAAGAGGGCAUCAGACCCCAUUACAGAUGGUUGUGAGCCACCAUGUGGGUGCUGGGAUUUGAACUCAGGACCUCAGGAAGAGCAGUCAGUGCUCUUAGCCGCUGAGCCAUCUCUCCAGCUCCAGCUUUUUUUUUUUCCCUAGUGACUUAAAAAAAAUUAGCAGCGAAUGCGCAGGGCUUGGAGAGCCGUUCAGCCGUCAGUGUGAUACUUGUGAGGCCCUGGGCUCCAUGCUGUGUAUAUCGGUGCUCUGAGUCUGCAGUUUUCAGACUGCAUUACAAGUUCCUAGUCACAUGAGUGUUCUAGAGCACAGGCAAUGGGGAGGGGCAGGGGGACACUAUGGGUGAGACUCUCUGGCCUGGUAAAGGUUUUAGCCCAGGUCCACAGGCAGAUUCUUCCACAUCACUGUCUGUUAGAAGGAACUUUGAGGGGCAUUAGCUAAGCAAAGCAGUCACCUCUUCCCCUAGUGCUUGGUUCUCAUGUGUUCUCCCCAUCCUAGACCUCACACUUCAGACUAAGUAAGGCCAAGUCAACUGUGUCCAACCUCUGACAAGUUACCCAGGCUCCUGUCACAGAACUAGAGAUGACAGUCUAACAGGUCCUAUCAUAAGAGACCCCAAGGGCAGUCACAGGAUACUAGCCAUCUCCAAAGAUGCUAUCAGCUGGAUUCCCUUUCUAAGAAAAAUGCACAGGGUCAGACCAGCUGAGUGAUGCCCAUUUGCUAAGAAGGCUACCUUUCCACCACCACGAAAAAGAUAAAAAUUAUCAAGCAGCUUCAGGAAAAGGGGCCAUGGUCUAAUCUUUUCACACUCAUAAGCUCCAGAAAACAAUGAAGUAGUUAGUGAAAGAAAACUAAAUGAGAGGCUAGUAUCCUUUGGAAUAGGGAAGGCCCUUUAAGAAACCCAGAGGCCAUAAAAAGUCCAACAGAUGAUGUGUUGUUAAAGAGAGGAACUCCCUUCUUAGGCCCUGGCUGGCUGGGAACGCCACAGGCAGAGCAGGCUGCCCUCCAAUUCAGAUUGCCUCUACCCACCAAGUGCUAGGAUUAGAGAUGAGCACAACCACACCUGAUGAGACUUAAAAGGUUUGACUAUGAAAAACUUGAAAAAUUAGCACAAUACACACAAAGUAAGAUAUAUACACCAUUGUUUGAGUAUGUGAAUGCAGAGGCCAGAGAUGACACUGGGUGUCAUUCCUCUCAAGGCGGGUCGCUCACUGAAACUGGAGCUCCCCAGUUUGGCCCAACUGGCUGAGUGUUGGAAUCCAGUGUUGCCUUGGCAGCACAGCAAGUAGUAGCGACUGAGCCAUGGUGAACCUAUUUUAGACCAAGGCAGCAGUGCUGGUGAGGCACACCUCUAAGUGACCUGCAGUAUGUGGUGGAGCAGAGCUUAGGUUUGGUGGUCACUACCGGUUUUAGAGAGAACACUUCACACUUUCCUAUAGGAUGCAGGAAACUGUCGCUGUAUAGAGAAAUAAUGGCAAAGACAAAGAGAAAAGUUGAAUUUUUUUUUUUAAAAAAAGCACAAAACCCCUACAUACUAAAAUGAUACACAUCAAGUAUUGAUCCAAUCUUACAUCGACCUAUUGACAAUUACCAGCACCAUGUUUUUUUCUCACCUAGGUUAUUAACCUAUUGACAAUUUCCAGCACCUAGGUUUUUUUCUCACCAUGCCUGGAGGAUUGUUAUUCAAAGUAUAUGUUCCUUUAAAAUUUAAACAAACAAACAAACAAACAAAAACCAAAAGACCCCACAAAUCUCUUAGGACAAACCCUCAAGAAACAAGACCUUUUAACAAUCAGGUUAUUCAUGACACCAUCAAAUUUCCUUUAGAAAAAUAAUAGGUUUAACCACUUUUCCAACUGACGGACUUUGAGAUACUGUUAUUCAAUAUGACAAAUGAACCAACCUUCUUGAUGGUGGGAGGGAGAUGCACUGGAAUACCCUAGAGCCUCCACAUGGAAAUGUGGGCAUCCUUGGUUGCUAAAGCUGUGUGUGCACUUCUGAAUUUAGAUCAGUCACCACCAAAUCUAAAUUAGAUACAAUCACAAACUAAAUGAUGAACAGAAUUAGGGAAAUGGUUAAAGUUCUCAGAAAUGUAAGUUAUAAUUAUAGAUAUAUUUAAACAGGCUAUAAGAAAUUUAAUACUUAAAAAUUACAUUUUAAACUGCUUAGAGGUUUCAUUCUGCCACUAAAAUUAUGAAUGGCAUUUUAUAUCCGAAUAGGAGGUUUGGUAUUUCCUGACUGAGAAAAGCACAGACCCUUCUUUCAUCUACUGUUCACAUCUCACAAACUUUCAGAGACAGUGUGGUCACAUGAUAGUCCCCUUCUCAGGGAACCAACUUUUUUUUUUAAGACACAGUCUCACUAAGUAGCUCUGGCUGGCCUAGAACUAGCUGUGUAUUCCAGGCUGGUCUCAAAUUCUGAGAUCUGCCUCUUUCUACCUCUCAAGGCCCAGGAUUAAAGGCAGGUACAACAUGCCUGGCAAAAACAGCUUUUAAAAGGCUCCAGAUUAAAUAUAACCCUUGGCAGCUUUCUCCAGAGAAGGUGAGCCUGAUUUACUAUGUUCAGUCCCUUAGCCCAGUGUGCAGAUGGAGGUUAAUUCACCUUUGUUGGGAAGGUGUGGGAGGAACCCUGCCACCACAGUGACUGGAGUCAGAGUUAAGUGAAAGCACUCCAGUCUGAGCCAGGCGCUACCAUCUGUUCCCACCAAUGCAGUUUAAAUGACACUAGUUAGCUAUCACACACGAACAUUUUGAAUUGGAAUUUUCUCCAAGGCUUAGAAUAGGCACAGUUUUCCCAGGAACAGGCAGAGAGGGUUUUACUCACAUUCCCUGCAGGCAGGAAGGAGAAGAUUGCUUUUCAUUCUGGACUGGAAGCAGCUAUACUCCAUUUCUGUCUUGCCUGGCCCAGGAAUAUAUAGGCGGGGCCAGGAAGCUACAGAAAUGGUCACGCAGAGCAUCAGGGUCAGCAAAGACAUCACAUAGUAGCUAGCUGUCAAGCCUGGGUCCACAGAUAUGUUAAGAUUACUAUGAAGCAAGACUAGAAACUUCUCAACUGAGAAUACAAGCUCUAACUACUUACUAACGUGCUGCUCAGGGCGCCAGAGGGUGCCCGCUGCCAGCAUGACGGCCACAGGACUGAGUGCAUGUCAACAGGGAGCAGAACUUGGUGGGAGGGGAAGGAACACUGACAACUCCCAGUCUCACUGCCUCCUGGUGGGUAGGACUACAAACCCAGAAGAGAAGCAAAACUCUAUGCUCUUUUAGGUUCCACUUUAAAAGAAAAAAAAGAUUAGGUUUUGUAACUGUUAUUGAUGGUUCUG